AACGAACGCUGGCGGCAUGCCUAACACAUGCAAGUCGAACGAGACCUUCGGGUCUAGUGGCGCACGGGUGCGUAACGCGUGGGAACCUGCCCUUAGGUUCGGAAUAACUCCCCGAAAGGGGUGCUAAUACCGGAUAAUGUCUUCGGACCAAAGAUUUAUCGCCUUUGGAUGGGCCCGCGUUGGAUUAGCUAGUUGGUAGGGUAAAAGCCUACCAAGGCGACGAUCCAUAGCUGGUCUGAGAGGAUGAUCAGCCACACUGGGACUGAGACACGGCCCAGACCCCUACGGGAGGCAGCAGGGGGGAAUAUUGGACAAGGGGGGAAAGCCUGAUCCAGCAAUGCCGCGGGAGUGAUGAAGGCCUUAGGGUUGUAAAGCUUUUUUACCCGGGAUGAUAAUGACAGUACCGGGAGAAUAAGCUCCGGCUAACUCCGU
rnacentral:rRNA from 1 species